AGGGCAGCAUCAAAGCCCUCAUCCUUUGCGGAUUUUGAUGAAGACGAUGACGGUGUCAGCGAGGAGAAGGAGAACCGUGCUGCUGAUGACUCCGAGAAGGAUGUUGGCUGGGAGAAAACAGAGGAUUUCAAGAUGGAGCCCACAGGAUGUGGCAAAAUGGUCAAGCCGUACAAGCUCCCGGGAAGCAUUUUCAAGAUGCUUUACCCCCACCAGCGCGAGGGCCUCAAGUGGCUCUGGGUUCUGCAUUGCAGGGGAACUGGAGGGAUCCUUGGGGAUGACAUGGGUCUCGGCAAGACCAUGCAGGUUUCUGCCUUCCUGGCUGGAUUAUUCCAUUGCCGCUUAAUCAAGAGAGUGUUGGUGGUUGCGCCAAAGACACUUCUCACUCAUUGGACGAAGGAACUUUCAGUUGUCGGCCUCAAACAUAAGAUUAGGGAUUACUCUAGUCCCAGCGUAAAUGUUCGCAAUUCUGAACUUCAAUAUGCAUUCAAGGAGGGCGGUAUCCUUCUGACUACAUACGACAUUGUCCGUAACAAUUACAAGUUGAUCAGAGGUGACUCAUAUAAUGAUGCUGACGAAGACGAGGAUGGCAAGUUAUGGAACUAUGUUAUUCUUGAUGAGGGACAUAUUAUCAAGAACCCGAGUACUCAAAGGGCCAAAAGCUUACUCGAAAUACCUUGUGUCCACCGCAUCGUCAUAAGUGGAACACCUAUUCAAAACAAUUUAAAGGAAAUGUGGGCUCUCUUCUAUUUCUGUUGCCCGGAGGUCUUGGGUGAUAAGGACGAGUUCAAAUCAAGAUAUGAAUCGGCUAUCAUUCGAGGAAAUGACAAGAAUGCCACCAAUCGAGAGAAGCACACAGGCUCAACUGUUGCAAAGGCAUUAAGGGAGCGUAUAAAGCCAUACUUCUUGCGUCGUAUGAAAAGUGAAGUGUUCCUUGAUACUGGUUCGGCAGAUGAUAAAAAACUUUCCAAGAAGAACGAGCUAAUUGUUUGGCUGAGGUUAACAGCUUGCCAGAGGCAACUAUAUGAAGCUUUUCUGAACAGUGAUCUUGUUCAUUCAUCAAUGCAAGGAUCACCAUUGGCUGCAAUCACGGUAUUGAAGAAAAUAUGCGACCAUCCAUUGAUAUUGACCAAGAGAGCUGCUGAGGACAUCUUGGAAGGCAUGGAAGGCAUGUUGGAUAACAAGGAUAUGGGUAUGGUAGAGAAAAUGGCCAUGAACCUUGCAGACAUGGCUCAUGAUGACCAAGCGCUGCAAGUCGGCGAGGAGGUCUCAUGCAAAUUAAUUUUUAUCAUGUCCUUGUUGCGGAAACUUCUUGAAGAGGGACACCAUGUCCUUAUCUUUUCCCAGACGCGAAAAAUGCUAAACCUUAUUCAGGAAGCUAUAUUACUGGAGGGCUACAAGUUUUUACGCAUUGAUGGUACUACCAAGAUUGCUGAGAGGGAAAGGAUCGUGAAGGACUUCCAAGAGGGGCCUGGAGCACAAAUAUUUUUGCUGACCACACAAGUUGGUGGGCUUGGACUUACACUCACCAAGGCAGCUCGUGUCAUCGUGGUCGAUCCUGCUUGGAAUCCAAGUACGGACAAUCAGAGUGUGGAUCGUGCUUAUCGAAUUGGUCAGACCAAAGAUGUGAUUGUAUACCGCUUGAUGACUUCUGGAACCAUCGAAGAAAAGAUAUACAAAUUGCAGGUUUUCAAGGGCGCUUUGUUUAGAACAGCCACAGAGCAGAAAGAACAAACACGCUACUUCAGCAAGAGGGACAUUCAAGAGCUCUUUAGUCUGCCAGCACAAGGUUUCGAUGUUUCCCUUACACAAAAGCAAUUGCAGGAAGAGCAUGGGCAGCAACUUGUCAUGGAUGAGUCACUGAGGGAGCACAUAGAGUUUCUGGAACGACAAGGAAUAGCGGGUGUAAGCCAUCACAGCCUCCUAUUUUCCAAAACCGCAGUCUUGCCUUCGUUGGAGCCUGAAGCUAUGGAGAGCAAGCACCCAAGCAUGCCGAUGAUGGGCAGGCAGUACAACAGGGCAUCAUCCUCGAUGGACUAUGUCGCCAAUGGCGCUGCCCAUGCUUUCAAGCCAAAGGACUUCACUCCAAGAGCAUACUCUGCAAGCAAUACGAGUUCAGAGAGCCCCGAGGAAAUCAAGGCCAAAAUCAACCGCCUGUCACAAACCCUCUCGAACACGACGCUGGUGUCGAGGCUGCCUGACCGUGGGGAGAAGCUGAAGAAGCAGAUACACGAUCUGGACGAGAAGCUGACGGUGAUCGAGUCCUCUCCAGAGUCGUCGUCGAUGAUGUCCAGAGGGGCGCGGCCUGAAGUGAUCUGCUUGGACGGUCAGAGCCUAUAA
rnacentral:rRNA from 1 species